rfam:Schistosoma haematobium scaffold508_21, whole genome shotgun sequence.
AUCCAGCUAACCAAUCCUAAAUAGGACGAAACGCGUGUCCUGGAU